CGGACGGGUGAGUAACACGUGGAUAACCUACCUAUAAGACUGGGAUAACUUCGGGAAACCGGAGCUAAUACCUGAUAAUAUUUUGAACCGCAUGGUUCAAAAGUAAAAGACGGUCUUGCUGUCACUUAUAGAUGGAUCCGCGCUGCAUUAGCUAGUUGGUAAGGUAACGGCUUACCAAGGCAACGAUACAUAGCCGACCUGAGAGGGUGAUCGGCCACACUGGAACUGAGACACGGUCCAG
rnacentral:rRNA from 1 species